ACCAAACAUAAGAGGAGAACAACGAUACAACACUACAAUGUAACACACACAGAAACGGACCAAGCAUCAGAUAAAAUCCCACGAGAAUAACAAAUAUAAAAUCAAAACCAAAUACAUGAAUUUGGGAUAGACGUGCCACGUCUUAUCGCAAUGUGAACUUACACUCAAAAAUAAGAGAAAACAAACGACGCAACGUUAAAAUGUAACACACACAGAAACGAAC
rnacentral:lncRNA from 1 species